rnacentral:rRNA from 1 species
UACUCAAACUUUUGACCUCAAAUCAGGUAAGAAUACCCGCUGAACUUAA